GUGUAAGGGAGAGGAGCUUGUUACCCCCUCUCCCCAGUGGCAGCUUAGCCCACCAAGGGGAGACACUAAGUUCCCCACCGGCGCAGAUGGGACCAUGGUCUCUGCGCCCAAGCUACAGGGAGUACGGACAGUCGGCCCUGCUCCCCAGCAGCAGAGUCUUCUACUGGGAGGGGAGAACCUCGUCCCCCCUCCCCAGCGGCAGUCUAGCCCACCAAGGGGAGAUGAUAAGCCCCACACCGGUGCAGAUGGGACCGUAGUCUCUGUGCCCAAACCACAGGGUGUAGGGACGGUCGGUCCUGUCCCCCAGCAACAG